AGUUUGAUCCUGGCUCGAUUGAACGCUGGCGGCAUGCUUUACACAUGCAAGUCGAACGGUAACAGGUCUUCGGAUGCUGACGAGUGGCGAACGGGUGAGUAAUACAUCGGAACGUGCCUAGUAGUGGGGGAUAACUACUCGAAAGAGUAGCUAAUACCGCAUGAGAUCUACGGAUGAAAGCAGGGGACCUUCGGGCCUUGUGCUACUAGAGCGGCUGAUGGCAGAUUAGGUAGUUGGUGGGGUAAAGGCUUACCAAGCCUGCGAUCUGUAGCUGGUCUGAGAGGACGACCAGCCACACUGGGACUGAGACACGGCCCAGACUCCUACGGGAGGCAGCAGUGGGGAAUUUUGGACAAUGGGCGAAAGCCUGAUCCAGCAAUGCCGCGUGCAGGAUGAAGGCCCUCGGGUUGUAAACUGCUUUUGUACGGAACGAAAAGCCUGGGGCUAAUAUCCCCGGGUCAUGACGGUACCGUAAGAAUAAGCACCGGCUAACUACGUGCCAGCAGCCGCGGUAAUACGUAGGGUGCAAGCGUUAAUCGGAAUUACUGGGCGUAAAGCGUGCGCAGGCGGUUUUGUAAGACAGUGGUGAAAUCCCCGGGCUCAACCUGGGAACUGCCAUUGUGACUGCAAGGCUAGAGUGCGGCAGAGGGGGAUGGAAUUCCGCGUGUAGCAGUGAAAUGCGUAGAUAUGCGGAGGAACACCGAUGGCGAAGGCAAUCCCCUGGGCCUGCACUGACGCUCAUGCACGAAAGCGUGGGGAGCAAACAGGAUUAGAUACCCUGGUAGUCCACGCCCUAAACGAUGUCAACUGGUUGUUGGGUCUUAACUGACUCAGUAACGAAGCUAACGCGUGAAGUUGACCGC
rnacentral:rRNA from 1 species